UCCUUGACCUUAUUACUAUUUUCUGCCAGUUCCCAGUUCUUCGCCAGAGUCGUUCAUUUAUUUUAGUAGUUCUCUCUUUGAAAAAAAAACAUGCUUGCUGUUUUCUCGACGCCACUAAUUUCUUUUGUUCUGUGCCAGCUCUAUGAAUUGAUGUAGAAAGGUGACUUACCAUCUUUGACGUGAACGCAAGGAUAUCCAAGAUGGCCGCCACCCCACAGCAACGCAGCUGGUUUGCUCUGGAAUUUGAAAGUACAGAGAGUGUUGUGACCGUGCAACGUGCUUUCAAACUCAAAUACCAUGUGAAUCCACCUACACCCAAGUUCAUUCGGAAAUGGCACGACGAUUUUAUUGAGAAUGGAUGAAUCUGUGAUUGGAGAAAGGAACAUUCAGGCUGACCACUUGUCUCAGAGGAAGUUGUUGAUCAAGUUAGAGGAGUAUUUUUGCACAGGCCCAAGACGUCCGUACACAGAGCUAACUAAGAGUUACAGGUUCCUAUAAGCACAGAUCUUACAUGCCUACAGUUUCACCCUUACAAGCUGCACUUAGUCCAAAACCUACACCUGGAAGACGAUGUGAAUUGAAUUUUGUACAAAUCUGCAGGCAUUAAUGGAAAAUGAUGACAACCUGCUGUCGAAGAUCAUUUUCAGUGAUGAGGCGACAUUCCACUUCAGGUCAAUAAGUACAAUUUGAAGAUACAGGGGAGUGAAAAUCCAUAUGCGACCCUGGAAACUGAUUAAGACUCACCCAAACUUAAUCUGUUUUGUGCUGUCAAAGCAGACUGUAUAUGGCCCUUUCUUCGUUGAUGAAUGAAUUGUUUCUGGUUAAAGUAACCUGGAGAUACAAAGCAAUUGGAUGUUUCCAUGCUGAGGGUGGUGAUCACUUUUUUCAGCAAGAUGGUGCACUGCCAUCUCCCUGUCAGGAGAUUUCUCAAUGAGCAUAUACCAAACAGAUGUUAUUGGCCAUGCUGGAAAUGAUGUCAAGAUGUUCUGCAAGUGGCCCGUGAGGUCACCAGACCUAACUGUUUGUGACCUCUUUCUUUGAGGAUACAUAAAGACCGAAGUUUACAUACCCACACUUCCUGCAACCUUGGAUAAGUUAAUAAAUUGUAUCACUGAAGCACUUCGCAUGAUCACUCUGGGUAUGCUGCAGAGAGUCUUGACUGGGAGAGAUUAUCGCAUCAAGUAACAAGAGAGGUAUAGCUACUAAUUGAAAGAAUAUUACAAUAAAGUUACAUAUUAUAUCUAUUUGAAAUCUGGGAGUGUGGACACCCUGUAUAUAAAUCGACCUUGGUACUUGAUUGGUACUCUAUUUUGUCCAAGAAAGAUAGCAAAAUUAAUUUGGGGGUGUAAAGGGCUGUAAUUAUAUAUGUUCAACAUAUUGUCUGACACAGUUCUGUCAAGCCACCGUUUGUCACUCUUAGAAUGCUUUUAUAUUCAACAACUCCUAAUUCUCUAGACAUUAUAUGGAUGCAAUGAUGUUUCUUUCCAUAGCCUAAAUCUUUUGAAGCAUGUCAUCAAAAUAGAGUAACUCGACUUGUUUUAAUAUCUAAAGCAAUAUUCAUUCUAUUUAGUAAACUUCCUUUGGAUACUUUCUUACGU